GACGAACGCUGGCGGCGUGCUUAACACAUGCAAGUCGAACGGAAAGGCCCUGCUUUUGUGGGGUGCUCGAGUGGCGAACGGGUGAGUAACACGUGAGUAACCUGCCCUUGACUUUGGGAUAACUUCAGGAAACUGGGGCUAAUACCGGAUAGGAGCUCCUGCUGCAUGGUGGGGGUUGGAAAGUUUCGGCGGUUUGGGAUGGACUCGCGGCUUAUCAGCUUGUUGGUGGGGUAGUGGCUUACCAAGGCUUUGACGGGUAGCCGGCCUGAGAGGGUGACCGGCCACAUUGGGACUGAGAUACGGCCCAGACUCCUACGGGAGGCAGCAGUGGGGAAUAUUGCACAAUGGGCGGAGGCCUGAUGCAGCAACGCCGCGUGCGGGAUGACGGCCUUCGGGUUGUAAACCGCUUGCGCCUGUGACGAAGCGUGAGUGACGGUAAUUGGUAAAGAAGCACCGGCUAACUACGUG
rnacentral:rRNA from 1 species